rnacentral:rRNA from 1 species
UACGGGGGGGGCAAGCGUUGUUCGGAAUUACUGGGCGUAAAGGGCUCGUAGGUGGCCAACUAAGUCAGACGUGAAAUCCCUCGGCUUAACCGGGGAACUGCGUCUGAUACUGGAUGGCUUGAGUUCGGGAGAGGGAUGCGGAAUUCCAGGUGUAGCGGUGAAAUGCGUAGAUAUCGAGAGGAACACCUGCGGCGAAGGCGGGUUGCUGGGCUGACACUGACGCUGAGGCGCGAAAGCUAGGGGAGCGAACGGG